rnacentral:rRNA from 1 species
AUGGGGUUUAGUGCACAUCAAAAGAUAUCGGCGGCAAUGCGGGUACUCGCUCAUGGCAUACCCGCGGAUUAUACCGACGAGUAUCUUCGCAUUGGGCAAGAUACAACCACGGAGUCAGUCCAUAGGUUUGCCAAGUUGGUCAUCCGGUUGUAUGGUGAGCAGUAUCUUCGGGCACCAAACGAGGAAGAUACAAAGAGAUUAAUGGAAAUGAAUGAAAAAAGGGGAUGGCCGGGGAUGCUAGGUAGUCUUGAUUGCAUGCAUUGGAGGUGGAAAAAUUGCCCAAAGGCAUGGCACGGAAUGUAUUGCGGUAAAAGCCGUGAUGCUACCAUUGUGCUUGAGGCCGUAGCAUCUCAGGACACAUGGAUUUGGCAUGCAUUCUUUGACAAUGUUGGUACCCAUGUGCAACCGGAAAGAAACCCUUCUCGCAUACACGCUUUUCUUCAAGCACAUCGUUAG